UGCAUGAACGCGCUGGCUGCGUGGAGUUCGCUGUGGACGAAUUCACGGCUCACCUGUUCUGUUGUGUAAAAAUGUCCACGUUGGAAAUGCUGAAAAGUUUUGUUAACCAGCGGCUUAGUGCCGCUGUGGAAGAGAUUUUCGGGCUUUUAGAAACAACAAUAUCGAACUACGAAGAAGAGAUUGAUCGUCAACACAAGCUGCUAGCCGACGUCAAACCUGCCAUCCCGAUCAACAAAACAGAUCCUGAACACGCUGUGAGGUUUCGUGUUGUCAUUGACCAUGACAUCAAGAAGAUUACGCUAAACAGUGGAAUGCCGUCAUCUGUGGAGGUCUUGAUUACAGCUGUCAAAGAAGCUUUUUCCAUCAAUUCACAGAUAAGUCUUCAGUACAAAGAUGCAGACUUUGAUGACUUUUUUACCUUGACCUCGACAAGUGACCUCAAAGACAAAGACACGCUCAAAGUAGUGUAUGUGCCACCAGAAAUUAUACUCACCAUGCACCCCCAUGACAGAAACCCAGAUGCCUCGGAUGUGUCCUCUGUGGAUGAUUUGCUCUCCAUGGAUUCACAAGACACUUUGAUCGAAAGUCCCACCUCGUCCGAAAGGCAGAAUACAUGGCUUCCCAUGAUUCCCAAGUCUUCCCCUUCUGAAAGGCAGAGCCUGUGGCCUGCACAGUUUCCCAUUCCAACUUUCUCUUACAACACUGAGUUGGCUUUGAAGCAAGGCAAUGAGAAGUAUCUCAGAGAUGGAACGCCUCUGACAACACCAAGUGUUAAAUCUGACAUUCUGGAGCGUCUGGCUGAGGCCAUAUUCUCCUACACAGCGUAUCCCAACGAUGCCCAGAAGGCUGCAGUCGCGCAAGCACUCAUCCAGAAGCAUCCCUGCUUGAAAGAGCCGGGGUCUUUCAACGGAUGUUAUGGGUGGCAGCAAAGCAUCAAAUACAAAUGUGGAAACUACCGCUGCAAACUCAAAGCUCAUGGAACACCAGAGGUCCUGAUAAAUUCAAUGAAGCAUAAGAUGGUGGGUGACAGAAAACCAGCCAAAAAUAUCAAGAGACCAAGAAAAGCAGAGGUUAAUUAUCUUCCCUCACACCCGCCUGGUGAAACCGACGAGUCGCUGGAGAAUGUGAGAAUAAAGCUGAUUGAAGCUGUGAAGAAUGGUGAUAGAAAGGAGAUAAAUGGCUUGAUGUUCAGAACGUACAGCUGCAGAAGAAAAGAAGUGGUUGCUCAGUCGAUAAGGGUGGCAGAAUUCAAGGAGAGAUGGCCCGCCCUCUUUGAACCGUUUCAGAUAAAUGAGGAGUUCAGAAGGUGCAACACUAUUCCUCUAGAGUCCACCUUCAUGUCCCAGCUGGAUAAGUACACACCAAAGCUCCUGGAGUUAUUCAGUUCCAGAGGAGGUCUUGUUGGUCAGCGCCUAAAGAAUGUGUUGAUGGAACUGAUACAGGAUCCAACAGCUACAGUGGUGAAGAAGAGAGAUGUGACUCUGAGAUGCCUCAUUGAGUAUUUGGGGGAAAAUGGACAGGAACUCAUAUCUGACUACUAUAUGACAACAGAAAGUAGUGUGCAUAAAGACCUUGAAAUGCAGAACAUGAGGAUCUACGUUUGCCAGAAUCCAGAUGUGGUGGGGAUCAUCAUCGAGGGAACUCCCGUCCUGACGGGUCUGAGUAACUUGGCCACGGCAUGUUCUCUUCUCCUCGGCCUGACUUACGCCCUCAAUCUGGAAUAUCCUUCCAAACUUUCCAAGACAUUUGAAGUGUUUCAAAGGCUCUUUGUGGGACUCGACACUCUUCAGCCAAAACCAAGUUCCAAGUAUGUUAACCUGAAAAACAGGCUUCUGGCCUGAUGGUUGGAUCUGAGCCGGGUUUAUCAAACCAGGCAGGAGUCCUGGUUUCCCACAAUGCCUGCGGCACUUAGGACGUCUUUGAAAGCUGUUCUUAUCUUGAUGACUGGAAUCCGUUGUAGGUUUUUUUAUUUUAUGUUUUUAUGAAUCAGAACAUUAAUGUCUGGAUAAAUCCCAUCAUUUCAUUGACACUUUGACAACUUUACACAGAUGACUGUAGCAAGCGAUUUUUCUCCCGACAUCCCGUUAUAGCAAAUCAGCAUGUUCCAAAUUUGUGGGUUUAGGAGGAAAUGAGCGUUUGUCGUGGUUCUGUUGUUUUGUGCUGGUACCAGUAAAGUUGCGGCUGUGGUUUUACUGCAGUGUCCUUUGUUUUA